UACACUAUGGCUGGGAAGUGUGGCGGCAGCAGCAAGGACAGGCACGGGAGAGCUGGUGGUAGCCAGACUCAUUCGGGCACUCGCGGAAGCGCAAACAAAGCAGCUCAGGAUGCACAAAUCUGCCUGGGACCCUCACCAUUUAACCCACAUUGAAGCCAUGCCAUUGGAGUGAUUCCCUUCUGCAGUUCCCAAUUUAUAAGCAGCAGAAGACAGUGAACCUACUGCUAAAAGGUACAUUGCAUUCAACGAGGUCUGCAAGAAAGCGUUCACACUCCUGCUUUUCUCUACUAUUCAGUGCAGCUGCAGCUGGGAACAGUAUACGGGACAUUUGUGCAAAGGAAGGAAGCAAAAUUCCUGUAUUAUUUUCAGGUGAAGU